rnacentral:rRNA from 1 species
UACGUAGGGUGCAAGCGUUAAUCGGAAUUACUGGGCGCAAAGCGUGCGCAGGCGGUUAUGCAAGACAGAGGUGAAAUCCCCGGGCUCAACCUGGGAACUGCCUUUGUGACUGCAUAGCUAGAGUACGGUAGAGGGGGAUGGAAUUCCGCGUGUAGCAGUGAAAUGCGUAGAUAUGCGGAGGAACACCGAUGGCGAAGGCAAUCCCCUGGACCUGUACUGACGCUCAUGCACGAAAGCGUGGGGAGCAAACAGG